rnacentral:ncRNA from 1 species
GAAUAAUUGUGGGGGGACUCAUUUGAGUUGAGAAGGCUAAAACCUGACCCUUUGAACCUGUUGGGUUAAGACCUGCGUAGGGAAGCAAAAAUGAGAAGAUU